UUAUGAGAGUUUGAUCCUGGCUCAGGACGAACGCUGGCGGCGUGCCUAAUACAUGCAAGUCGAACGCUUUUUCUUUCACCGGAGCUUGCUCCACCGAAAGAAAAAGAGUGGCGAACGGGUGAGUAACACGUGGGUAACCUGCCCAUCAGAAGGGGAUAACACUUGGAAACAGGUGCUAAUACCGUAUAACACUAUUUUCCGCAUGGAAGAAAGUUGAAAGGCGCUUUUGCGUCACUGAUGGAUGGACCCGCGGUGCAUUAGCUAGUUGGUGAGGUAACGGCUCACCAAGGCAACGAUGCAUAGCCGACCUGAGAGGGUGAUCGGCCACACUGGGACUGAGACACGGCCCAGACUCCUACGGGAGGCAGCAGUAGGGAAUCUUCGGCAAUGGACGAAAGUCUGACCGAGCAACGCCGCGUGAGUGAAGAAGGUUUUCGGAUCGUAAAACUCUGUUGUUAGAGAAGAACAAGGAUGAGAGUAAAACGUUCAUCCCUUGACGGUAUCUAACCAG
rnacentral:rRNA from 1 species